CUAUCUAAAUGUCAUAACGACUCUCGGCAACGGAUAUCUCGGCUCUCGCAUCGAUGAAGAACGUAGCGAAAUGCGAUACUUGGUGUGAAUUGCAGAAUCCCGUGAACCAUCGAGUCUUUGAACGCAAGUUGCGCCCGAAGCCGUCAGGCCGAGGGCACGUCUGCCUGGGCGUCACGCAUCGCGUCGCCCCCCCUCCCCUCGCACCGCGCGGAGAGGC
rnacentral:rRNA from 1 species